UAGAAAAUUUCACAGUUAUUGGCGAGCAGUGAUGGAGUGUAAAUCGUUUUGAAGUGGAUUUGAAAAGCACACAUUUCAUUGUGCAGCAUUAUAGCAGAUCUGAGCUGAGUCAUUAAAGUUCAAGGCUGAACUAAAGUCAUCGAAGCAUCUUCCGAAUACUUCGACAAUGUGAAAACUGAGAGUUGACACCAUAUUCUGGUUGAGAAUAGCCAGCGAGCCUGGACUGGGCAUGCCCGAGUUCUGGGAGCCUGGUAUGGGGUGAUGCGCACGCACAACUGAUGUGUGGAAAAUUAGCUCAGAUGUUGCUCAAUCGUUCGUUUUUUGCCGAUAAUGACGUAUGACGUGAAUACAGUCAGUAAAAGUGAGGUAUUCGAUACAACAACAGUGGGUGAGCUAAAACAAUGAAAUCAAAAAUUCUACACAAAUUGCUGUGGUUGGUGUUACUUCGGAUCUAUCCGGAAUGUGAAAGUGGAGGAAGCGACGGUAUGAGCUCAUUGAUGUGCUAUAGAUUUCGUUAGUCUGGUCUGUUGUAUAAAUAAUGCAAGCUACACUAAGCUGACGUCGUGGAAAAACUAGCAGCAAAGUAUUUGCAUCUGUGACAUCUGUAGUAAGCCAUACUCGUCUAUUAACCACGGCAGUCAACCAAUGCAGAACACGAUGAUUAUAAAAAAAAAAACGCAUGUGGAAUUUUACGGGGAUUAUAAUAGCUAACAACCGACGUGUGGUUGCGAAUGGUAUUUUCCAAAUAUUUUCGUAGCAAACAACCUUUAAUUUUUCAGCUAUACCAAACAGUUGAACGUGCCUGUUGGUAUUAAAAAAACAAAAAGGAAGUGAUUUCAAAUGUGAUGAGGCAGACGGGCCAAAGAGAUUUUAGAGAGAGUCUGUCCAGAAGUCUUAAAAAAUGAUUGUUCUGAGAAAUCGGGUCGUAUAUAUUGAGAAAGAUUGACGUAAGCCAAAUGGAUUUCCUUUUCCGAUAUUUACCGUUACAGAGUCUGCCGUAAUUCUUUCCUUCUGUCCUUAAUUAUGAAGAUAAUACUCCUAGCGCUGGUUAAAGAGAUGUCUUGCGUGUCUAUCGUUUCGUUUCUUUUUUGUUUUUGUCGUUCUUGGUUUUUGUUUUUUCUCUUUACGAUUUUGUUACAGCGAUACGACGCAGUUGAUCAGUUCCUGUGUGUAUCGAUUGGCCAUUAAUUUCAUCAUACUAAUGUCUACAAACACCGCAAUUCCAAGAGUUUGGUAUCUGAAUAUUUCUGGCAAAUAGCAUUGGGACUGUUCGUUCAAGUCUGAUAGACGAUCGUUGUUGACCAUCUCUAAGCAGAGUAAAGUUAUAAAACUGCAAGAACAGAUGGGAUUGAGUAUUAAAACAUAGAAAACAUAUAGUUGUUUCUCAUUUAGAGGAAAAUGAGCAAACUAGACAAUUUUCUUUCCGUUUUGCAGCGAUACAUUGCAGUUAAUACACCUGUGAUUAUCCUGACGGUAAAGAUUGCAGUGACGUGGACAGUUAGAACCGCUACAAACGUUAAAGGCGACGAAGUGGUGAGGUUAGGUCCAACCUAUCUUAAACUAAUUUAUACCAUUACAGCAUCAAGAAAGGGAAUCCAAUACAUAAUCAGCCACAAAUUCUAGAUCUGCAAAGAAAACGCAUCGAAGUAGUAUCAACGAGUACUUUUGCUUAGACUUUUUUUUUUUAGCGAUGCGACACAGUUGAACGUUCCUGUGCGUAUCUGAAUGCAUCUGUUAACAACGUGAAGUUUUACUAAAUUGCGCAGCAACUACCAGCGGAAUAUUAGAAAAUAUUGAGAGCAACGCUGUUUCGAUCUUAUUCGAUUGUAAGGCCAAUUGAUAUUUUCUCUUAACUAAUGCCUAAUUUAUAGGAAGACAUGUCACAAUUGAUCGUGCCUGAGUAAACAUAAAAAUUACCGGAAAGACGCAAUAAGUUCAGGAAGUUAUGGCGUAUUUACCAUCGACACCUUUUAACACAUUGGGAACAACCAACUUUGUUUCUACCCUUUACGAUUGUAAGGCGAUAUGAAAAUUUCCUUUCACUAAUUGGGUAAUUUAUAGGAAGCGAUGCGACAGAGUUGAACAUUGCCCGCAUUUAAAUUCAUCUUAAAAAUGGCGAGGUUUAGAAAGUGUCCCAUACUUUCCAUCAACACCAUAAACACAAUGAGAGCAUCUCUACAUUUUUUUCGAUAACAUACCAUUGUAAGGCCAAAUACAAUUUUCUUUUGACUAAUGCAUAAUUUGUAGAUGUAAAUAUCGUCGACUUUGAGCACAAAUCUAGCCGCAAGGGCGUAACUUAAAGUAUACCAUUGGGAGACCUGACGUAUCUAUCGAUAAGCUUGCAAAAACAACAAAGAAUGCAACAAAAUGUAUAAAAAUGGCAAAAGGGAAUCGUGCCAAAAUAAUACCAGAUGAGCAGUUUUUAUCGGAGGUUAGGUAGAUUGUAAUACCUAUGGUCACAAUAUUUUUCAGUUAUUUCAACGGAAAAAUUGAAGCAAAGACCAGAAAUUGUAGCCCCUACUACCUAGGCGAUUUCGGUUCGAAUGGACAACUGAUGCAGUGUGCUUUUUAUAAAUCUCAAGUACCAUCUGUUAAAUAUAUAUUUCUAUCGUUUAUAUCUUGAAUUGUAUUGUGAACAAUCCAAAAGAGAAGCAGUUUUCCAUAUUUUGCAGCGGUACAACGUAGUUGAUCGGUGCCUACGUGUACCUAACUGUUAGCAGCUUUAAGGUCCUUAAAUUCUCGAUUGGUAUUUGUGCUCCAAAGAAGCCUUGUAUUUUAAACGCCACGUAAACAAGAUAUGCCAACAAAGAGUAAGGUAUCAUUCCUUAUGUGAAAUUAAUCAAUUUCUUGUAGAAUUCAAAGUUCAUCCACAAGUGGUUUAUGUGUGACGGAUCACUAAGCAAUUAUUGUGCGUAGGAUACACAAUUGCAACAGUACAUAAGAUAAAAGAUAUAAUUUUUUCUCAACCUGGAAUGUAAACUUGCAAAAAUCAAUUCUGAAAUUUGAGAUUUCGAAGACACAGUUAUAUUUCCGAACUUUUUUCCAGAAAUUUUACCGAGCUGCAACUCGGCAUUUAAACGGUUUUACUUUUUUGGCAAUAAGGGAAUCAUGCCAACAACAGGUGCGAGCAGCAAAAUACUUAAUCUCUGCGGCGGCGGCCAUACUUCUAUUAAGGGAAGAGGUUAGGAAUACAUCUUUGUGCAACGAAAGCAAGCGGUAUUCAUAAUUUUACCAUUUUAAAUACGAAUUGACCAUCGAGUUUGGAGAAUCUGCAAUUUUGAAAAUUUUUCUUGAUAAUUAUUUUUUUUUCUCGAAAACGUACGAUUUUUUCAUUAUAAUUUAUAGCGAUAUAUCGCAGUUGAUCGGUGCCUGCGAAUAUCACAUCUGUGAACUGGCUAUAGGGAAUCAAGCCAUACGACACUCGGUUACAACGCACCCUUCGCGAACUCGCAUCGACGAAUAAAUUUAUUAUGAGUAACGGAAGAUGACCAAAGUGAGAAUUCAACUAUAACCUGAGUUCAAGCAGUUGUUAUUUAUUCUACUUUGCCUGGUAAAAUUUAACCCCUCAGUUUGAGAAAAAAUGUCCACAUAACUUUACAAUUUUACUUUCCUCGAGCAAAAAUGCGCACAAAACCAUCGAAAAAAUAGUUUAUUUAUUACAGCGAUAUGAUGCAGUUGAACUGUGCCUGUACAUAUCUUCUAUGUGAAGUCUCAAAUUGGUAGAGUCCCAACAAACCUGACCUGAUCUAAAACCAUCAAAGAGCACACAGUGGAAAUUUGGGAAACUGAAGGUGCUUUGUAUAUGAAGCUUUCCACUUAAAAUUUUAUUUACAGUUUCACGAUAUUUGCCCAUUUUAUUGAAAUCUGCAAGGGAAUUUAUGAUUAGCGGCGCAGAUAUCUGCAUCAUAAGUAUGGAGCGUAGCAACACCCCACACUUAGAAAUAGAUUUAACGAACUUGCCGAAAGCUCUCACUCGUCUAUAACCCAAUUAAGGAACCUGAUCGCAGUCUCGAGUCUCUUCAAAUAUGAGGUCAUUACAUGAAAUAUGUCAAUACAUUUAAAUAGUCUAUUUGCAGUAUAAAUAUUGUGAUGCGGUUGAAUGUAAUUGUAUGGGAUUGCAUCUUUGCCACGAAGAUCAAGCGAAAGAUAUUUCUGGCGGCAUUGCACGCAUCCAGAUGAUCGUUAAAGGGAAUCGAACGAUACAACUAGAAGUGGCCGUCCAUAUAAAUAUCUCGUUAACUCCAAUAACGCCUGCAUCAGUUUUGUUUUAAUUGUGCGUCUUUCAUCUAGUAACUUGCGUUUGUGCGGUUAGUCACAUUUUCACUGCAUCGUUGGUUCUCUACUUUGUUCGUUUAUGUGCGAAUCCGUACGAGUCGCCGCUCUGCCUGCCCCCUGGUAUUGAGCAAUGGCACGGAGAGCUCUGAAGAAUCUGGCCCUGAGUUGGGCGAAGAAAUGUUUCGAAAGGGAAUCAAAGAAACACGCGUAAGACUUGUUACGGUUCGUUCUAUUAGCAUAAACUUGUAUAUUUACAGGUCAUCUGUGACUAACAAGUCAUAAAAUUGACUUUUCUGCAUGUAACUCCAUCUAAUGGUGUUCGAGAUGUCUUAAUGAACAGGUUAAAUAGGCGAACAAUGGCCACAGCUUAUCUUGUUAACAUAUUAAAUAUGUGCUACUACCUAUUCUUGCAUAUUAAUGUACUAUAUGUUGAAAAUUUUAUUAGCCAAAUUUUUGAAAUCGUUAUAAAAACGAAUAGUCUGUUAAAAUAACUUCUGUCAAUACACCGUAAAGAGAAUUGUUGCCAAAGUCAAUCAAGUUCAAAAUUUUAGUUCAAAUAGAUAAAUGUAACCGAAUUAAUUAUAUUCCUAAGAGGAAAAGAAAUAAUAUGAAGAACAAUUGUGCAUAAACUACUAAAUGGAGAAAAUGUAAAUGCUAAUCAAUUUAAAAAAAAAAAGAUUGAAGUUCCAUCCUCUGUUGACAGAAAAUGCUCACAUAUUGCGACAAUUCGUAUUGAUGUGAAAUAUGGCAAUUUCUUUGCAUUGUAAUAUUAAAAUAUUUAAUUUGAUUUGUAAAUUCAUUCCAUAUGCAACUUUCAAUAUUCUUACCUUGUAAUUUGACAUGUAAAAUUCCCAAGAAAAUGUAAUUUGUUAGAUGGUUUAACUGAUUUGCGUAGCACACGACACAAACCAGUAAGAACUCUUUCCAUGUAAAAUUUAAAAUCAUGUUAUUUGAUAUGUAUGAUACUUUAGAACAUAUAAUCCUUUGAUAUACUAACUGACUUGGCAUAAGGCACAUACUGUCCACAUGCUGUUACAAAAUCAAGCGUUCGUUGGUGACCAGUGAGUGAAAGAUGGCAUUUAGUCUUACAAUCAGUCUUGCCGUGUGAUGCAGCGCAGUAUCAUUUUGGGAGCAGAGGGAUUUGCGUCUGAUCAAAUUGGGUGAUUCUAACUACACAACUUACAUUCAGAGCAAGAGCGAAAAAACAGGAGAGAGGGAGAUCAAGAUAAGCAUAGUUUCAUAUAGGGAAAACAUCAAAAUCGACUGUUCGAUUCCGGAAAUUGACUUAAUUUUAAAGAUACUACGCGAAAGAUCCUAUUCUUUAAAAUCAUUUGGCCGUACCAACUAUGACGCAUGGCAUGUGCUCUAAGUGCUUUAUAAAGUCCUACAUUCGAAUUCCAUCCUUAAAAAUACAUGAGCGGUACACGCAUCUUUUGCAAAUCAGCAGAGCUUCAGGCAGUGGGUUCUACGUUGCCGGAAGGGCCCGGAUUCAUAUCAGGGCAAGGACUUUCACUCCAGCAGCAUUUCCCAAACAUUUAUAGGGAGUGCUUAUGCUGUUACAACAACAACCACCACAGUCUCGUCCGACAUCGUUCGUAUUGGUCGGAUGUUCACAUGUAUAUCCAUCUAGCGUCCUAUGGCUACUUCACUGCAAGCAUGCAAGCACGCACGCAUAUUUACGACAAUACCACCGUUUUUUUUUAAUCCGGCCGGAGUCUAAACCAAUAGUACAGCAACCAGAAAUUCUGCCUUCACCUUGUGGGGAUACUUGUAUCUACGAUGAUGUUGAAUCGAUUAAAUUACAUUCUAAUUCCUGAUAAGCCAUUCUCGUCCAUUUUCAAGACGUAUACUUCGUAUUCUGUCGUUUAUACAUCGUCCGGAUUGUAUAACUGCGUCGAGUCACAAUGCGAGUAAUUUCUUGGAAAGAUUUUGGCUUCACGAGUGGUGGUCAAUUGUGUGCUGAGCUGUGCGUUCUCUUGCAAAGGCAGGGGCUGCGGUGGCGGCGGCAUGUAUUGCUUUGCAGAAAGUAUGAGGACAAACUAUCGAUUUGCUUGUUCAACCAAUCAUCUUUGUUUAUUACUACUGGGAAAUCCUUAAUCCUGAUAAUCACUACACGAAAGUAUGGGGCUUUUGUAUGUUUGGUGCUCAUCUUCAUCAUUCCUUAAUCCAUCACUUUGAUUUGGAGAGACAGAGAGAAGGCAAUCCCUGCAACCCUAUAAAUCUUCUAAGUAACUUGUUCUGGGACGUCAGUUCUGUUUCAUUUGCUCCGAGGAAAUCGUCUUUAAUGGGAAGGCAGAAAUUUAAUUAGUAAACUUAAAACAUCGAUAAUCUACAAGCAUUGACCGCGGCGAGGGAUAUGAAGUAUUGACGGCAGCGUGGGAUACCAAGUUUUGACGGCAGCGCGGGAUACCAAGUAUUGACGGCGGCGUGGGAUACCAAAUUUUGACGGCAGCGCGGGAUACCAAGUAUUGACGGCAGCGCGGGAUACUAAGUGUUGACAGCAGCGUGGGAGCUACCAGCAGUUCAUCGUGGGGUUGUAAAUUUUAUUUCUUCGAGGGAUUAGUGUAGACUGCGGCGUGGGAAGCUAUGUUGAGACGGCGGCGUGGGAUACCAAGUAUUGACUGCGGCGUGGGAUACCAAGUAUUGACGGCUGCGUGGGAUCCAAAUAUUGACGGCGGCGAGGGAUGCUAAGAGUUGACGGCUGCGUGGGAUACCUUUCUGGGACGGCGGCGUGGGAAGCCUCUUCGAUGGAUUUAUCAACAGCUUAUUUUAUUGUGUUUGUACUGCCUACUGUCUCGUAUCCCAUUUUUUCCGUUAUCCUUUACGAUGCAAAUUUGUUAUAUAGGGCAAUAUCUGAGUGAAUCGACGCUUUUUUGUUUUACUUAUCAUUGCCCAACAUUUAUCUUGUUAAGAAAGCAGAUAAGGUUCAAGCAGUCUUGUUUUCAAACUAAGAUCCCUUAAAAUCUGCGAUUACUUGUAAAAAUGAGUCAUUAAAAUGGGGACAAAUAUAAUAACCACGAAGCAAAUUGUGUAGAAUUUGUAGGCAGGGUUUUUAAACUUGAAUUUGUAUUUUAUUUAAAUAAAUGUAUAAUGUUUUUUGAAAAAAGUAUACAAAGCGCUUUAAAUAAUUUGUGGAAUAAAUUGGAUUUAACGUAGAAGAAA